rnacentral:rRNA from 1 species
GACGAACGCUGGCGGCGUGCCUAAUACAUGCAAGUCGAGCGAAUGAUGAAGAAGCUUGCUUCUUCUGAUUUAGCGGCGGACGGGUGAGUAACACGUGGGCAACCUACCUAGUAGAUUGGGAUAACUCCGGGAAACCGGGGCUAAUACCGAAUAAUCCAUUUUGUCACAUGGCAAAAUGCUGAAAGGCGGUUUCGGCUGUCACUACUAGAUGGGCCCGCGGUGCAUUAGCUAGUUGGUGGGGUAAUGGCCUACCAAGGCAACGAUGCAUAGCCGACCUGAGAGGGUGAUCGGCCACAUUGGGACUGAGACACGGCCCAAACUCCUACGGGAGGCAGCAGUAGGGAAUCUUCCACAAUGGACGAAAGUCUGAUGGAGCAACGCCGCGUGAGUGAUGAAGGUUUUCGGAUCGUAAAACUCUGUUGUAAGGGAAGAACAAGUACGUUAGUAACUGAACGUACCUUGACGGUACCUUAUUAGAAAGCCACGGCUAACUACGUGCCAGCCGCCGCCGUAAAAC